rnacentral:rRNA from 1 species
GACAUAGGUGGCGAACGUUAUCCGGAUUUAUUGGGCGUAAAGGAUGCGUAGAUGGUGGAAUAAGUUAUUGGUCAAAGUCAAGCUCAACUUGGCGGAAGCUGGUAAUACUAUUCUACUUGAGGAUAGGAGAGGUUGGCGGAAUUCUGUGUGGAGCGGUGAAAUGCGUUGAUCUACAGAGGAACAUCAAAAAAGGCGAAGGCAGCCAACUAUUCUGUUCCUGACAUUGAGGCAUGAAAGCGUGGGGAGCAAACCGG